rnacentral:rRNA from 1 species
GAUUAACGCUGGCGGCGUGCAUAACACAUGCAAGUCGAACGAUGGAACUUUAAUGAACCCUUCGGGGAGAAUUAAAGCGGAUUAGUGGCGAACGGGUGAGUAACGCGUGAGUAACCUGCCUUACACAAGGGGAUAGCCUUUGGAAACGAAGAAUAAUACCCUAUAAAACCAUAAAAGCACAUGCAAUUAUGGUCAAAGUGAUAGCGGUGUAAGAUGGACUUGCGUCUGAUUAGCUAGUUGGUGAGAUAAAAGCCCACCAAGGCAACGAUCAGUAGCCGGCUUGAGAGAGUGUACGGCCACAUUGGGACUGAGACACGGCCCAGACUCCUACGGGAGGCAGCAGUGGGGAAUUUGGCACAAUGGGGGAAACCCUGAUGCAGCGACGCCGCGUGAUUUAGAAGGCCUUCGGGUUGUAAAAAUCUUUUGUAUAGGAAGAAAAUGACAGUACUAUACGAAUAAGGGCCGGCUAAUUACGUG